rnacentral:rRNA from 1 species
GAUGAACGCUGCCGCCUUCCCAAAUAAAUCCAAUCCGACGGAACGGACGAGAAGUUUGCUUCUCUGCGGUUAGCGGCGGAGGGGUGAGUAACAGGGGAAUAACCUCCUUAUAAGACGGGAAUAACUUCGGAAAACCGGAGCUAAUACCGAAUAAUUUUUGAAACCGAAUGGUUAAAAGGAAAAAGCGGGUCUUGCUGUCACUUAUAGAUGGUUCCGCGUUGCAUUAGCUAGUUGGUAAGGUAACGGCUUACCAAGGCAACGAUGCAUAGCCGACCUGAGGGGGGGAUCGGCCACACUGGAACUGAGACACGAUCCAGACUCCUACGGGAGGCAGCAGUAGGGAAUCGUCCGCAAUGGGCGAAAGCCUGACGGAGCAACGCCGCGUGAGUGAUGAAGGUCUUCGGAUCGUAAAACUCUGUUAUUAGGGAAGAACAUAUGUGUAAGUAACUGUGCACAUCUUGACGGUACCUAAUCAGAAAGCCACGGCUAACUACGU